ACGCUCGACACCUACGGGAGGCAGCAGUGGGGAAUAUUGCACAAUGGGGGAAACCCUGAUGCAGCGACGCCGCGUGAGCGAAGAAGUAUCUCGGUAUGUAAAGCUCUAUCAGCAGGGAAGAAGAUGACGGUACCUGACUAAGAAGCACCGGCUAAAUACGUGCCCGCAGCCGCGGUAAUCUGAGCGGGCUGGCAAGGC
rnacentral:rRNA from 1 species